rnacentral:snoRNA from 2 species
UGGCAGUGAUGACAAAAAGGAUAUUUGGUUGAUUAUGAUUCUUAUUAAUGCCAUUUAAGGAUCAAAUUCUGAUGACCUUAUUUGUGCGUGUCUGAGCCAU